GUGUCAGCAGCCGCGGUAAUACAGAGGGGGCUAGCGUUAUUCGGAAUUAUUGGGCGUAAAGGGCGCGUAGGCGGCCUGAUGUGUCCACGGUGAAAUCCCUCGGCUCAACCGAGGAACUGCCGUGGAAACUGUCGGGCUCGAGGCCGGGAGAGGGUGGUGGAAUUCCCAGUGUAGCGGUGAAAUGCGUAGAUAUUGGGAGGAACACCAGUGGCGAAGGCGGCCACCUGGACCGGUUCUGACGCUGAGGCGCGAAAGCGUGGGGAGCAAACAGGAUUAGAUACCCCUGUAGUCC
rnacentral:rRNA from 1 species